rnacentral:snRNA from 1 species
UUGCUUUGGCAGUACAUAUAUUAAAAUUGGAAUGAUAAAGAGAAGAUUAGCAUGGCCCCAUGCAAGGAUGACACACAAAUUUAUAAAGCUUUCCACUUUAAA